AGGAUGAACGCUGGCGGCGUGCCUAACACAUGCAAGUCGAACGGACCUUUACCAACUGCGAUUCGUCAAAGGAAGUAUAAGGUUAGUGGCGGACGGGUGAGUAACGCGUGGGUAACCUGCCUCAUAGAGGGGGAUAACAGUUGGAAACGAUUGCUAAUACCGCAUAAGCCCACAGGACCGCAGUGGUCCGAAGGGGGAAAAGAUUCAUCGCUAUGAGAUGGACCCGCGUUUGAUUAGUUAGUUGGCGGUGUAACGGACCACCAAGACGACGAUCAAUAGCCGGACUGAGAGGUUGAACGGCCACAUUGGGACUGAGACACGGCCCAAACUCCUACGGGAGGCAGCAGUGGGGAAUACUGCACAAUGGGGGAAACCCUGAUGCAGCGACGCCGCGUGGGUGAAGAAGUUUUUCGGAAUGUAAAGCCCUAUCAGCAGGGAAGAAAAUGACGGUACCUGACUAAGGAGCCCCGGCUAACUACGUGCCAGCAGCCGC
rnacentral:rRNA from 1 species